rfam:Listeria ivanovii subsp. ivanovii strain NRRL 33017 prfA virulence gene cluster, complete sequence.
AUAUUAAAAGUUUGAGUCACUUAUAGUUUCCUACUGCGAAAACAUAUAAUUUAGUUCCCACCCAUACUAAAAUUGUGUCCUUAACUCUCUAUUAAUUUGGCUAUACGUGGCUUAAUCUU